rnacentral:tRNA from 1 species
GCAGUGGUCGAAUGGUAGUGCAGCUGACCACAGACUUUUUGGUCGGCGGUUCGAACCCCAG